rnacentral:rRNA from 1 species
GAUGAACGCUGGCGGCGUGCUUAACACAUGCAAGUCGAACGGAAAGGCUCCUGCUUGCAGGGGUACUCGAGUGGCGAACGGGUGAGUAACACGUGGGUGAUCUGCCCUGCACUUCGGGAUAAGCCUGGGAAACUGGGUCUAAUACCGGAUAGGACCACAUUUUGGAUGGUGUGGUGGAAAGUUUUUCGGUGUGGGAUGAGCUCGCGGCCUAUCAGCUUGUUGGUGGGGUAAUGGCCUACCAAGGCGUCGACGGGUAGCCGGCCUGAGAGGGUGUACGGCCACAUUGGGACUGAGAUACGGCCCAGACUCCUACGGGAGGCAGCAGUGGGGAAUAUUUCACAAUGGGCGCAAGCCUGAUGCAGCGACGCCGCGUGGGGGAUGACGGCCUUCGGGUUGUAAACUCCUUUCGCUAGGGACGAAGCGUUUUUGUGACGGUACCUGGAGAAGAAGCACCGGCUAACUACGUG